rnacentral:misc_RNA from 1 species
AACGAGGCCGACCUGCGGCUGAGUUACCUGCGGAAGGAUCAUUACCAAACACUCCUCUCACGAGGAUCAUCACACCCCGUGCAUUGUCAUCCCCCAGGGUUUCAUACCCGCACCCACUUUCAAGAGAGACCUUCCCGGUGGCUGCGGAGAUGAGGGAAACCUCACACGCCGGUCGCUUGAUUGUGGCUAAACAGUUUCUGGUUCGGAAGGGCCACUGGGGCUAACUUUUUUCAACCUUUC